rnacentral:rRNA from 1 species
UACGGGGGGGGCAAGCGUUGUUCGGAAUUACUGGGCGUAAAGGGCUCGUAGGUGGCCAACUAAGUCAGACGUGAAAUCCCCCGGCUUAACCGGAGAAUGGCGUCUGAUACUGGAUGGCUUGAGUUCGGGAGAGGGAUGCGGAAUUCCAGGUGUAGCGGUGAAAUGCGUAGAUAUCUGGAGGAACACCGGUGGCGAAGGCGGCAUCCUGGACCGAAACUGACGCUGAGGAGCGAAAGCCAGGGGAGCAAACGGG